GAUGAACGCUGGCGGCGUGCCUAAUACAUGCAAGUCGAGCGAACAGACGAGGAGCUUGCUCCUCUGACGUUAGCGGCGGACGGGUGAGUAACACGUGGAUAACCUACCUAUAAGACUGGGAUAACUUCGGGAAACCGGAGCUAAUACCGGAUAACAUGUUGAACCGCAUGGUUCAACAGUGAAAGACGGUCUUGCUGUCACUUAUAGAUGGAUCCGCGCCGCAUUAGCUAGUUGGUAAGGUAACGGCUUACCAAGGCAACGAUGCGUAGCCGACCUGAGAGGGUGAUCGGCCACACUGGAACUGAGACACGGUCCAGACUCCUACGGGAGGCAGCAGUAGGGAAUCUGCCGCAAUGGGCGAAAGCCUGACGGAGCAACGCCGCGUGAGUGAAGAAGGUCUUCGGAUCGUAAAACUCUGUUAUUAGGGAAGAACAAAUGUGUAAGUAACUAUGCACGUCUUGACGGUACCUAAUCAGAAAGCCACGGCUAACUACGU
rnacentral:rRNA from 1 species